AAGCCGAAAGGGGGACCUCUUGGGAGGGAGGGCAGGGGGUCCUCCCCACCACCCGGCCUGGACUGGCAGCAGCUCCUCCCUCCAUAAUCACCAUCUCCCUGGCAUUUCUUGGUUCCUGUCACACCCUCUCACACCUCUGACUGUCCCUUCCUCUUGCACUGCCACACCCAUGGCUCUGGCUUCCACUUUGUAGAGACCCUGCCGUGUAGAGAGGAGAGAGGUUGACAGGCUGCCCUUUAGCCAACUGCCUGUGGUCAUCGUGUGUCACCCACUCGGCCUCAUCAUCUCACCUCCACCCUGGGCCAGGCACUGUCCUUCCCAAGGCAAAGGUCUCCAGGGUCCUAUAUAUAGCUGAUCCCUCCCUGGGAGGCGCUCACUUCUGGAUCCCUCCUGAUGAGGGAAGACUCUGCAGCCAGAGCCUCACUCUCUGGGAGAUGCUGGUGAUCUGGAUCCUGCCCCUGACUCUCUGGGUCUGGGUGCCCGCCACUGCCUCUACCACUGCCACUACCACUGCGACAUCAAAAAGUACCUCCACCCCAGGCCCUGGGAGUUCUAGCACCGUUUCUGUCAGGUCUGAAUCUACCUUCUCCUCAGAAAGUUCUCCCACCACAGGCCCUGGGAGUUCCAGCACCAUUUCUGUCAGGUCUGAAUCUACCCUCUCCUCAGAAAGUCUUCCUACCACAGGCCCUGGGCAUUCUAGCACCAUUUCUGUCAGGUCUGAAUCUACCUUCUCCUCAGAAAGGUCUCCCACCACAGGCCCUGGGCGUUCUAGCACCGUUUCUGACACCUCUCAAUCUACCUUCUCCUCAGAAAGUUCUCCCACCACAGGACCUGUGCGUUCUAGCACCUUUUCUGACGGGUCUGAAUCUACCUUCUCCUCAGAAAGUUCUCCCACCACAGGCCCUGGGCGUUCCAGCACCAUUUCUGAAAGCUCUGAAUCUACCUUCUCCUCAGAAAGUUCUCCCACCACAGGCCCUGGCAGUUUCAGCACCGUUUCUGACCAGUCUGAAUCUACCUUCUCUUCAGAAAGUUCUUCCACCACAGGCCCUGGGAGUUCCAGCACCUUUUCUGACCAGUCUGAAUCUACCUUCUCCUCAGAAGGUUCUCCUACCACAGGCCCUUGGAGUUCUAGCACCCUUCCUGACUGGUCUGAAUCCACUCUAUCUUCAGAAAGUACUCCUAUCACAGCCCCUGGGAGUUCUAGCACCAUUCAUGACUGGUCUGAAUCCACUGUUUCUUCAGAAGGUACUUCCACCACAGGCCCUGUGAGUUCUAACAUUAUUCCUGAAUGGUCUACGUCCACUGUCUCAUCAGAAAGUACCUCCACCCCAGGCCCUGGGAGUUCUAGCACCGUUUCUGACUGGUCUGGAUCCACUGUUUCCUCAGAAAGUACCUCCACCCCAGGCUCUAGGAGUCCUAGCACCGUUCCUGACUGGUCUGAAUCCACUCUCUCUUCAGAAAAUUCUCCCACUACAGGCCCUGGGAGUUCUAGCACUGUUCUUGCAUGGUCUGGAUCCACUGUCUCUUCAGAAAUUACCUCCACUCCAGGCGCUGGGAGUUCUAGCACCAUUCCUGACCGACCUGAAUCCACUGUUUCCUCAGAAAGUACUUCUACCACAAGCCCUGGGAGUUCCAGCACUAUUUCUGACAGGUCUGAAUCUACCUUCUCCUCACAAAGUUCUCCUACCACAGGCCCUGGAAGUUCUAGUACCAUUUUUGACCUGCCUGAAUCUACCUUCUCCUCAGAAAGUUCUCCCACCACCGGCCCUGGGAGUUCUAGCACUGUUCCUGACUGGUCUGGAUCUACCUUCUCUUCAGAAGGUUCUCAUACAACAGGAUCUGAUAGUUCUAGCACCGUUUCUGAUAGGUCUGAAUCUACCUUCUCUUCAGAAAGUUCUCCUACCACAGGCCCUGGGAGUUCUACCGCCAUUUCUGAUUGGUUUAACUACACAUUCUCUUCUGAGGUUUUACUGCCUACAGGCACUGACAUUUCAAUAUCCCCAUCAAGCAUUGGCAAGACAUUAACCAG
rnacentral:lncRNA from 1 species